UGAGAAUGUGAUCUAUCUAACUUCUGUAUUUUCCAGAUUGAUAGGUGAUGAGAAGGUUGGCUGGUUUCCUGAAGUGUGCGUUGCAAAUUGUUAGAUCAGUUGCAUUACAGAACUCCAGAAGUCUUACACCCUACUCAUUUCUUGAACCAUAUCCAUAGUUUUCAUCUAUGGUCAUGAAAACCAUCAACAUGUAGGCCAACAUGUCCAUUGAAGUCAUCAGUCAUAAUGAUGAAGUCACUGUUGAUUGUCACUGAAGUAGUUUGCACCCUACCACAAACAGAUGAAAAAUAAAGUUUACCACAGUGGGAUUUGAACUUGGAACAUUAAGAGCUGUUACUCAAUAUCAUCAGGCAUUUUCUCCUCUGCUCUAUCAAUUCUACCAAUAAUUUUCGUCGAUUAAACAGACAAGAGGAUGGACCAAGAAGAACGUGCAGAACAAAUAAAAGACAAAAUAAUCGUUGGGUGGUUGCAUCUACCCUUUGUAGUAUUUACAAGUGAGAGAUAUUUAAA